GACAGAGGGUGCAACCGUUGUUCGGAAUUACUGGGCGUAAAGCGAGUGUAGGCGGUCUGCUAAGUCGGGUGUGAAAGCCCUGGGCUCAACCCAGGAAGUGCACUCGAAACUGGCGGGCUAGAGUAUCGGAGAGGUUGGUGGAAUUCUCGGUGUAGAGGUGAAAUUCGUAGAUAUCGAGAGGAACACCGGUGGCGAAGGCGGCCAACUGGCCCGGUACUGACGCUGAGGUGCGAAAGCGUGGGGAGCAAACAGG
rnacentral:rRNA from 1 species